rnacentral:lncRNA from 1 species
CUGAAAGGGAUCUCAGAGGCCAGACUGUCAACUCCCUUUCACAGAAAAAGAAAACCAGUCCCCAGGAGGGUAGGUCCAAGGUCACAAAGUUAAUGAAUGUUAGAAGCAGGAUUUGAACUCCAUGCUCGUGAAAAGGGGCAUCUGGUCUCAGCUGAACUCCUCACAUACCCUGCCACACCUGAGCUGCCACACUGGCUGCUUCCAAGAAGGCUUCCAGGGCCAAUCCCCGCCAGCCUGGGAGUUUCAGGAAGUCCUACAGCCAAUGGAGGGAAGGCAGGGCCUUCUCCAAUCUCUUCUUCCCAGUCUCUAGCCUUGGAUUGCGUACCACCAAUUCCCUCAGCUGAUGGCAUGCUCUGGAUACCAAGCCCUUCAUCGUCCUGGUUUCCCACACUGGAAAUUUUCUGGCCAUUAAUGUCCUUCUUAAACCAUGGUGCCCAGAACUGAACACAGGCCUCCUCAUCAAGUAUGUGGGACAACCACCUCCUUAUUCUUGGAAGCUACUGCCCCACUUUACAUGGUUCAAAAUCAGCUUUUUGGGGCACCCCAUUACAUGGCUGACUCAUACUCAGCUUGUGGUCUGCUAACACCCUCAGCUCUUUUCUGACACACUCCUGCUUCACUAUGUCUUUUCCAUCGUAUACCCUUUCUGGGUUUCACUGUCAUAUUCUGUAAAUGAAGCAACUGGAUGCAAAGUGGUCAAGCAGAUAACUUGCCAGCACUGUAGUCUAUGAGUAUAUGAUCAAAAAUUAUGUUUCCUUUAAAAAUAAAAACAGCAUUUGGUAAACUUUUCUAAAU